CGCAGCCGCGGUAAUUCCAGCUCCAAUAGCGUAUAUUAAAGUUGUUGCAGUUAAAAAGCUCGUAGUUGAAUUUCGGGAUCAAGUCGUCGGUCGUGCCUUGGUACGCACUGGUGACAUUGGUUUCUCCCUUCUGAAGAACCUUGAUGUCAUUAAUUUGGUGUCUUGGGGAAUCAGGACUGUUACUUUGAAAAAAUUAGAGUGUUUAAAGCAGGCUCACGCUUGAAUACAUUAGCAUGGAAUAAUGAAAUAGGACGUUUGAUUCUAUUUUGUUGGUUUCUAGGAUCGACGUAAUGAUUAAUAGGGAUAGUUGGGGGCAUUAGUAUUCAAUUGUCAGAGGUGAAAUUCUUGGAUUUAUUGAAGACUAACUACUGCGAAAGCAUUUGCCAAGGAUGUUUUCAUUAAUCAAGAACGAAAGUUAGGGGAUCGAAGACGAUCAGAUACCGUCGUAGUCUUAACCAUAAACUAUGCCGACUAGGAUCGGAUGAUGUUAAUUUUUUAAUGUACUCAUUCGGCGCCUUAC
rnacentral:rRNA from 1 species